CUUUUUUUAAAUUAUUCUUUGGUCAAUUUUUCUAUGAAUGUGACAAUGAUGAACUGCAUCAAAAUCAAAAAGCCAAUUCUGAGCCUCCUCCCUUCCCCUCCACUCCUUUCCCUUUCCCUUCCCUUCUCUCCCUCCCUCCCCUUUCCUAAUUCUCAUCUCUUCUCUUGAAUUCUCUUAAAUUCUUCAAUUCCAAAUGAUACAUAUCGAUGAAAUAAAUAAGACAUUAUGCCCUGUCUGGGGAAGGAAGAGGUGUUACUGACAGUGUGAAAUGGAAAAAGAGUUUUUUUGGAACUCAGGCUAUGAACCAACUCUAAUUUGGGGCCUGAACUGAGC
rnacentral:lncRNA from 1 species